GGGAAGGUAGCUUAGUGGUAGAGUGUUUGCCUAGCAUGCAUGAAGCCCUGGGUUCAAUUCCUCAGUUCCA
rnacentral:tRNA from 1 species